rnacentral:rRNA from 1 species
UUAAGUUAUUAAGGGCGCACGGUGGAUGCCUUGGCACUAGAAGCCGAUGAAGGACGUUACUAACGACGAUAUGCUUUGGGGAGCUGUAAGUAAGCUUUGAUCCAGAGAUUUCCGAAUGGGGAAACCCAGCAUGAGUUAUGUCAUGUUAUCGAUAUGUGAAUACAUAGCAUAUCAGAAGGCACACCCGGAGAACUGAAACAUCUUAGUACCCGGAGGAAGAGAAAGAAAAUUCGAUUCCCUUAGUAGCGGCGAGCGAAACGGGAAGAGCCCAAACCAACAAGCUUGCUUGUUGGGGUUGUAGGACACUCUAUACGGAGUUACAAAGGACGACAUUAGACGAAUCAUCUGGAAAAAUGAAUCAAAGAAGGUAAUAAUCCUGUAGUCGAAAAUGUUGUCUCUCUUGAGUGGAUCCUGAGUACGACGGAGCACGUGAAAUUCCGUCGGAAUCAGGGAGGACCAUCUCCUAAGGCUAAAUACUCUCUAGUGACCGAUAGUGAACCAGUACCGUGAGGGAAAGGUGAAAAGCACCCCGGAAGGGGAGUGAAAUAGAACCUGAAACCGUGUGCUUACAAGUAGUCAGAGCCCGUUAAUGGGUGAUGGCGUGCCUUUUGUAGAAUGAACCGGCGAGUUACGAUUUGAUGCAAGGUUAAGCAGUAAAUGUGGAGCCGUAGCGAAAGCGAGUCUGAAUAGGGCGUUUAGUAUUUGGUCGUAGACCCGAAACCAGGUGAUCUACCCUUGGUCAGGUUGAAGUUCAGGUAACACUGAAUGGAGGACCGAACCGACUUACGUUGAAAAGUGAGCGGAUGAACUGAGGGUAGCGGAGAAAUUCCAAUCGAACCUGGAGAUAGCUGGUUCUCUCCGAAAUAGCUUUAGGGCUAGCCUCAAGUGAUGAUUAUUGGAGGUAGAGCACUGUUUGGACGAGGGGCCCCUCUCGGGUUACCGAAUUCAGACAAACUCCGAAUGCCAAUUAAUUUAACUUGGGAGUCAGAACAUGGGUGAUAAGGUCCGUGUUCGAAAGGGAAACAGCCCAGACCACCAGCUAAGGUCCCAAAAUAUAUGUUAAGUGGAAAAGGAUGUGGCGUUGCCCAGACAACUAGGAUGUUGGCUUAGAAGCAGCCAUCAUUUAAAGAGUGCGUAAUAGCUCACUAGUCGAGUGACACUGCGCCGAAAAUGUACCGGGGCUAAACAUAUUACCGAAGCUGUGGAUUGUCCUUUGGACAAUGGUAGGAGAGCGUUCUAAGGGCGUUGAAGCAUGAUCGUAAGGACAUGUGGAGCGCUUAGAAGUGAGAAUGCCGGUGUGAGUAGCGAAAGACGGGUGAGAAUCCCGUCCACCGAUUGACUAAGGUUUCCAGAGGAAGGCUCGUCCGCUCUGGGUUAGUCGGGUCCUAAGCUGAGGCCGACAGGCGUAGGCGAUGGAUAACAGGUUGAUAUUCCUGUACCACCUAUAAUCGUUUUAAUCGAUGGGGGGACGCAGUAGGAUAGGCGAAGCGUGCGAUUGGAUUGCACGUCUAAGCAGUAAGGCUGAGUAUUAGGCAAAUCCGGUACUCAUUAAGGCUGAGCUGUGAUGGGGAGAAGACAUUGUGUCUUCGAGUCGUUGAUUUCACACUGCCGAGAAAAGCCUCUAGAUAGAAAAUAGGUGCCCGUACCGCAAACCGACACAGGUAGUCAAGAUGAGAAUUCUAAGGUGAGCGAGCGAACUCUCGUUAAGGAACUCGGCAAAAUGACCCCGUAACUUCGGGAGAAGGGGUGCUCUUUAGGGUUAACGCCCAGAAGAGCCGCAGUGAAUAGGCCCAAGCGACUGUUUAUCAAAAACACAGGUCUCUGCUAAACCGUAAGGUGAUGUAUAGGGGCUGACGCCUGCCCGGUGCUGGAAGGUUAAGAGGAGUGGUUAGCUUCUGCGAAGCUACGAAUCGAAGCCCCAGUAAACGGCGGCCGUAACUAUAACGGUCCUAAGGUAGCGAAAUUCCUUGUCGGGUAAGUUCCGACCCGCACGAAAGGCGUAACGAUUUGGGCACUGUCUCAACGAGAGACUCGGUGAAAUCAUAGUACCUGUGAAGAUGCAGGUUACCCGCGACAGGACGGAAAGACCCCGUGGAGCUUUACUGUAGCCUGAUAUUGAAAUUCGGCACAGCUUGUACAGGAUAGGUAGGAGCCUUUGAAACGUGAGCGCUAGCUUACGUGGAGGCGCUGGUGGGAUACUACCCUAGCUGUGUUGGCUUUCUAACCCGCACCACUUAUCGUGGUGGGAGACAGUGUCAGGCGGGCAGUUUGACUGGGGCGGUCGCCUCCUAAAAGGUAACGGAGGCGCUCAAAGGUUCCCUCAGAAUGGUUGGAAAUCAUUCAUAGAGUGUAAAGGCAUA